rnacentral:rRNA from 1 species
UACAGAGGGUGCGAGCGUUGUCCGGAAUCACUGGGCGUAAAGGGCGCGUAGGUGGUGGCUUAAGCGUGCGGUGAAAGCUCGGAGCUCAACUCCGAGUCGGCCGUGCGAACUGGGCUCACUGGAGCAUAGUAGAGGCAGGUGGAAUUCCGGGCGUAGCGGUGGAAUGCGUAGAGAUCCGGAAGAACACCGGUGGCGAAGGCGGCCUGCUGGGCUAUGGCUGACACUGAGGCGCGACAGCGUGGGGAGCAAACAGG